AUUACGCAUGUUUGUUUUCUUUUCAGUUACCGAGGUUACGUGUAUUUCUUGGUACCUAUAUUUGGACCACAUGUAGGGGCCAUCAUUGGAGCAUGGGUGUACAAGCUCCUUAUCGAACAACACUGGCCGGUGGAUAGCUAUGACUUUGGUGGCACCACUGAAAUGCAAACGAACGGAGAUUUCAAGAAGAAAGAAGAGCUGCCUUUCGUUGACAAGAAAAGAAUUGUCACGUCAGAUGUCCGAAAAGUCGAAGAAUGAAAGGAGGAAGCAGGAGAAAUUUUGGUAAUCAUCAGCAAUACGUGUCGUAGCAUCUGACUAUCAUGAACUUCUGUACAAAUCACCGCUAUGAUAAGAGAAUGUCACCAAGGUGAUGAAAUCUUGAAACAAAGACGUGUGAAACAUAUCCGUUGCAAAUUUGUCUUAUAAAAAUAUUCACAUCUACAUUUUUAUUGAAUUAUAACUAUAGCCUUUUAUAGAUGUGCUUCUCUAUGCAUUUAUAUAAAAAAUAUUGAUGCGCAUUAUCACUAAAAAACGACUCAGUUUAUGAAGAAGAAACAAGAGAAAAGGAAUUCCUUUAUGCAGUUUCGGCAUUUCUGGAUACAGAGUAACUGAUUUCGUAAUUUUAACCUCUACAAGAUGAUUAACAUAACUUACCGUCUGAAGGAUGCAGCAUAGAAUCAUAUAUGCGUAUAUUUAUAUCUAUGUAAUAAAUCAAAGGAAUACGCAUUCUUAGAACAUCUGUCUUUUAUUGUUUUCAAUUUAAGAAUUUGUUUUCCAUUUCGAGUAAAUACGCAUAUAAUUAACUUUAAUGGAGUGCAAGCAGCAAGUUCCUUUAUUUGGUUUUGUAAUAAUACUUGUCCAAAAUCAAGUAAUGUUAGCCAGUUUAGGCAUGGUUCUGAAUAUUUAGUAAAUUUUCCGCGUUGCGUGUGUAUAAAAAAGCAAGAUGAGUAUCCGAUAACCAUUUCCAAGUAAAACCUUGAUUAAUUGCUUUUUAAAUAUUUAAUUACGCUUUUAAUUAGAUUUAUUUUUACGCAUAAUAUAACUACAAUUUUAAACGUAAAUAGUGAACUUAUUUAAUUAUAUUUAAAGCGAAUUUCAUUUUAUAUUAAAAAUUACUUUGUUUAUAUGUUUAAUAUAUAAAGUAAAUUCUAUUCAUAAACCUAAAUUAUAGUAAAUAUGUAAUUUUACGCAAUACAAAAGUGCUUUUAUUAUUAUUACAUAUGUAAGAAAUUAAGUAAAUUAGUGAAAUAAAUUAAACAGUUGUGUUAAGCCAUCGAAAAAACUUAGAUCUCAUUAAUUGCAACCUAAUCAAAUCUAUUUUAAAAAACCUAUAAAUUAUCCAUUAUCUGCAAAUUUGCAGGUUAAGUUUUGUACCCUUUUGUAAUAGCAAUGUCAUAACUUUAAAACUUUUUUAAGAUUCAUCAUAUCAUAGAUCUUAAGAUCCCUGCCACUCUGGUUAAAAUUACGACUUACUUAACCAUAGCCAAAGGAUAAAUCUCAUUAGAUGAGUUCACAAUCCAAUUUUACAAAUUUAUAUUUUUAUAUCCCAUAUUUUUUUUUACAUUUAAGCAUAAUACUUUAUACAAGUGAGGAAAAAAUUGUAUUCUCCUUCACUUAUAAACUAUAUUUAAUAAUAUUUUUAUUAUUAACUUUUGUGUAAUUAUUUAUGCUGAUGAAUUUGAUUAUGUAAAUGAUUUACAUUAAUUACAUAUUUAUUAGCAUUAAAAUGGUUAUACAUUAGCACUCUUGUCAAAUUCGUUUGAAAAAUCAGACAUGUGAUAUCCUAUUAAUGGAAGUGUUUUAACUACUACGUCCAAUUUUUAAUGAAUAAUUUAAAUAUAUUUUGGAGUAUGGUUUGGCGAGACAUUCCAUGUUCAUCUUCUUCAUCACCAAACUUCAUCGAAUAUCACAUUUGCUUAUUUUUGAGAAUUUGUAACUAUAAUAUAUUCUAUAUAUUUUCUUGAUUUUGGAAACACGCAGAACAUGUAUAAAAUAUAUACAUUGUUGGUUUCCAUUUAUCGAUGUGUAAUAUACGUGUUAGCUUUCAAUAAAAGAUUUAAAAUUUA